UGGAUCGGUGAUGACCAGUGGUGGCGUAUGAGUCACGGAUGAUGACUAUAUGUCUGGAACUCUGAGGUCGAA
rnacentral:snoRNA from 1 species